rnacentral:rRNA from 1 species
GACGAACGCUGGCGGCGUGCUUAACACAUGCAAGUCGAACGAAGUGGCGCACGGGUGAGUAACGCGUAAUCAACCUGCCCUUCAGCGGGGGACAACCGUUGGAAACGACUGCUAAUACCGCAUACUGAAGGAGGGGAUUGCGUCUGAUUAGCUAGUUGGAGGGGUAACGGCCCACCAAGGCGAUGAUAGGGAGCCGGGCUGGAAGGAUGAACGGCCCCAUUGGGACCGGGACACGGCCCAGAAUCCUACGGGAGGCAGCAGUGGGGAAUCUUCCGCAAUGGACGAAAGUCGGACUGAGCAACGCCGCGUGAGUGAGGACGGCCUUCGGGUUGUAAAGCUCUGUUAAUCGGGACGCGGUACCGGAAUAGAAAGCCACGGCUAACUACGUGCCAGCAGCCGCGGUAAUAC